rnacentral:rRNA from 2 species
ACUGGGGUGAAGUCGUAACAAGGUAGCGCUAGGGGAACCUGGCGCUGGAUCACCUCCUUAUACGAUGAU